rnacentral:rRNA from 1 species
UACGUAGGUGGCAAGCGUUGUCCGGAAUUACUGGGUGUAAAGCGCGUGUAGGCGGGAGGCCAAGUCUGCUGUGAAAUCGCUCGGCUCAACUGGGCGGGAUCGGUGGAAACUGGUCACCUGGAGGACGGUAGAGGCGAGUGGAAUUCCCGGUGUAGUGGUGAAAUGCGUAGAGAUCGGGAGGAACACCAGUGGCGAAGGCGACUUCCUGGCCUGUUCUUGACGCUGAGGCGCGAAAGCUAAGGGGAGCAAACGGGG